rnacentral:tRNA from 1 species
GACGAUGUGGCGGAAUGGCAGACGCGACGGACUCAAAACCCGUUGGCAGUGAUGCUGUAAGAGUUCGACUCUCUUCAUCGUCA